AGACAACCAAUAUACACAACAUGCAAGCUUAUGUGCAAGCAUUCAAAUUGUUUCAUCAUCUCAAAUGACCUACAAACAGCAAGGGUUAGUGGACAAAUUAAAUAGCAACACUCAAAUGAUGAGGCAAUAUCAACCAUGGAGAUUGGAUGCUUGGUCCUGAAAUACACAGCUCAAAUGUGAGUUCAAACCCCUAGGGCAAAG
rnacentral:lncRNA from 1 species